UACAGAGGUCUCAAGCGUUGUUCGGAUUCCUUGGGCGUAAAGGGUGCGUAGGUGGCGCUGUAAGUCAGGUGUGAAAUUUCGGAGCUUAACUCCGAAACUGCAUUUGAUACUGCGGUGCUUGAGGACUGGAGAGGAGACUGGAAUUUACGGUGUAGCAGUGAAAUGCGUAGAGAUCGUAAGGAAGACCAGUGGCGAAGGCGAGUUUCUGGACAGUUACUGACGCUGAGGCACGAAGGCCAGGGGAGCAAACGGG
rnacentral:rRNA from 1 species